rnacentral:lncRNA from 1 species
AGAAACUCAUAUAUUUGGGCACACCAAAUCAAAGUAUAGAUAAAGUCCAUGUCAAAACAAGCUGAAAUUGAAAUUCAAACGAUGUCUCUUCUAUGUAUAAGGUGAGAAUCGAGCUAUACAUGAGUAGAAUUGGUUGAGAUUUAACACAUGGAAUUAUAGGUAAGGCUGGAACCAAAUUUAUAAUGGAAAUUCUGAUCCUUGUUCAUGAUAUUCUGUCGUCAAAGAUCUCGGGAGAUUCGGGCCCAUGGCAACUUCCCACUACAACAAGAUUCAUGAUGCCUCCUCCACAAGACCAUAUCCUCUCGCGGUCCCAGCAGUCUUUUAGCCAGAGUAUCCAUGAUUUUUAUCGUUUAAGUAAGGCCUUGCAUGAGAGGUGAAACAUCUCAUCUUCAUGUGUAAAACACAAUUCGUUAUAUAUGAGUUCUAAGAAUUCAAAUCCUACAAUUUUUUCUCCAA